rnacentral:lncRNA from 1 species
GGGUUUCAAGGAUGGAUGGUAGCUCACUCAAUUUCAUCUGAAAGAAUUUAGGGGCAAUAAUCUAUGAAGAGAACAAAGGAGGUUCGAAGGCUCGUCCCGAUCCCAUCUGCAACAGGGAUCAACAUUGUUUAUAUCUCUCCUUCAAAGACGUGUGAUUGCACGCACACCCCGACAUAGCAGAAAUUCCAAGUGAUUGGUCCCUGGGCCUUUGGUCACUCUUUGCUCUCCACUCCGUUUUGCAU